GCUGUGACCGGGAUUUCUCCCCUUUCAUUGAUGGAUACAAGCUGCUGCCAGCACGGGAGCGGAGGAGGGAAGGGGCGGACUCUUCCCUCAAAGGUUCCUCUGCAGUGGGUCAAACCUCUCCGAUGGAGUCUGGGCAGGUCUGGGUUGGGGGUAGAACAGGGUGCAGGAAAACAGAGGCAUACCGAGGCCAGAAGCAGCCAGGUAAAGGUGGUGAAGCACUGAGAGUAAAUUUUCUGAAGGUGAAAGCAGAGUUAAUGUGAACACUGGGAACUUCUACUGGCUUUUAAAUUAAAUGGGCCUCACAUAAAGAAUGUUUUGUGACAGAAAAAGGUUGUUUGUCAAGAUCCUGCCUUUCAAGACACAAUUACAAAUUCAGCACAGAACAUGGCAAAAUGGAUGCAGAACAGAUUGAACACUGAGGGGAAUCUAAGAAAUGCAGCUAACAGAAACGAAAAUGUUGCAAGCCUGCUGACAGACCGGGAAGGAGGAGAAGGAACCAAAUGAACUGAUGAAUGCAGCCAGAAAACUCGUAAGACAGCAGGGUGGAAAAAAGCCAGGCUCACAACAAUUGGGAUGGAAUAGUCAUUUCUAAAAUGCAGCACAGCCCAAGACAUGAUCACAGAGGAUGAUCUACA